AUUGAACGCUGGCGGAAUGCUUUACACAUGCAAGUCGAGCGGCAGCGCGGGGGCAACCCUGGCGGCGAGCGGCGAACGGGUGAGUAACAUAUCGGAACGUACCCAGUCGUGGGGGAUAACUAUCCGAAAGGAUAGCUAAUACCGCAUACGACCUGAGGGUGAAAGCGGGGGACCGUAAGGCCUCGCGCGAUUGGAGCGGCCGAUAUCGGAUUAGCUAGUUGGUGAGGUAAAGGCUCACCAAGGCGACGAUCCGUAGCUGGUCUGAGAGGACGACCAGCCACACUGGAACUGAGACACGGUCCAGACUCCUACGGGAGGCAGCAGUGGGGAAUUUUGGACAAUGGGGGCAACCCUGAUCCAGCCAUUCCGCGUGAGUGAAGAAGGCCUUCGGUUGGUAAGUACUCUUUCAGUCAGGAACGAAACGGUA
rnacentral:rRNA from 1 species